CCUACGGGAGGCAGCAGUGAGGAAUAUUGGUCAAUGGACGAGAGUCUGAACCAGCCAAGUAGCGUGAAGGAUGACUGCCCUAUGGGUUGUAAACUUCUUUUAUCUGGGAAUAAAACAGGGUAUGCAUACCCUCUUGUAUGUACCACAUGAAUAAGGAUCGGCUAACUCCGUGCCAGCAGCCGCGGUAAUACGGAGGAUCCGAGCGUUAUCCGGAUUUAUUGGGUUUAAAGGGAGCGUAGGUGGAUUGUUAAGUCAGGUGUGAAAGUUUGCGGCUCAACCGUAAAAUUGCAGUUGAAACUGGCAGGCUUGAGUACAGUAGAGGUGGGCGGAAUUCGUGGGGUAGCGGUGAAAUGCUUAGAUAUCACGAAGAACUCCGAUUGCGAAGGCAGCUCACUGGACUGCAACUGACACUGAUGCUCGAAAGUGUGGGUAUCAAACAGGAUUAGAUACCCUUGUAGUC
rnacentral:rRNA from 1 species